CAGUGCAGUACCUCCUUUGGUCUCAAAAUGUUCAUACAAGCGUAUCGAGUAGUUUGAGUUUUUGUAACAAACUAGAAAAGUCACGACACCGAGAAGAAAUCUGCGAAUACGUCAAAAACCGCGAAUAAAGAAAUAUGAAAAAGCGAAGGAAUGUAAUCAGAAACUACAUGUUUUAGCCUUUUGUUUAUGUCCAAACUUGAAAGAUGUUUUUAUAAAUAUGCCUCAAUAAGCAAAUGUUUUGAUGUGAUUUGUACUUUAUAUAUGUUUUAUCAAAUAUGUUUAGAAGCUUUCCAAAAAAUAAUUCUUAGACCUUGAUGGGUUUUUAUACUAAAUGAAGGCUUUUUAAUAUUUUUAUUCUAUCCUAUGCCUUUAUAUUUCAACCCAUUGAUGAAGGCAUAAUUGCAUGGAGCUGGAGACCGGUUGAAACCAGUUAGGUGGGUGCUUCUAAAGGGAGGGGCCUCUGGUCACACGUAAGACGCCGUCGGAUCAAUCUAUAGCCGGAAGCGGAAAUUGUAACUUUCGCCAGUUGGAAUGAUUUUUUUAAAAACCUUUUCAGAACUGUCAGCUUUUACGCCUUUGAAUGAGAAUAAACUGAAACUUUUUCUACGUUAAUCAGCUGAUUGGAGCCGCGAAAUGCCGUUUUUUUUUUUUUCUCUGAGAGUUUCACGGAGAAAAAAAACGUCAAACGGUUGAAAAAAGAUUGUGCUCUCUAGAUGUUAGUAGCCUGAGAUUUAGGUCUUUAAUCUUUAAUUGUCUACUCGUUUUCUGUCUUUUAACAUUUCUUUUAACAUUCUCGCCAGGGGACUACAGAUGGAAAAUAGCCUUCUUGGCUAACUCUCACUUUUUUUAAAACCAUGUUUAAUUUUUAAUCAUAUGUUUUGUUUUAAAUUGAAUUUUCCCCUUUCUAAAAAUAAACUAAAGAAAAAAAA